rnacentral:lncRNA from 1 species
GCAAUUAUUGAUUUUAUUUUGUAUUAUAUCUUUUAGUAAUACAAAUAAAUAGCCCAUUUUACAUGGGUAGCUACAAAACAAUUGCUAGUGAAAUUUAAUUCCACUUGUUUUCACCCGAUCGAUGAUUGUGACGUCAAUAUUGAGUUUUGAAAAUAUCAAAACAACGCGUUUUCAAAUUUGAAGGCCGACCAGUAGUUAAGAUGAUACAAUUUAAACGAACACUUAAAGUCGCGUUUAAUCUUCUCGUUGAAGGACAAGUAAAUAAGAUUGUAAACCCAUUGAAGUAUUAACGAUAAUGUAGAUUGACCAUUAAAGGAAACGAUUUCUAGAGGUUUUUGUUUAUUCUUUUGAUCUGUUUAUUCGACGGUUACUUUCGUCUCUAAAAACCCAGAAUUAAAAAAAUAAAAAUAAACACAACCACAAAACGAAAAAUACAUUUGUGUAUCUAGUUAAAAGAAAAAAAGAUAACUAACCACAAUAGCAAACAAAGAAAAAUCAUACAGAAAUACUUGAAAGACAAAUGAUUAUCUAAACAGUUGCAUCACUUGUCAACACAAACACAU